rnacentral:rRNA from 1 species
AAUAGUCUCUUAAUUAGGGGCUGGAAUGAAUGGUUGAACAAGAAAUAAUCUGUCUUUUUUUUAAAAGUGGAAUUUAACUUUUAAGUGAAAAGGCUUAAAUGGGCCGGGGGGACGAUAAGACCCUAUAAAACUUUAUAAAAUUGGAAAUAUAGUUUUUAAAGUAGAGUAUAAAGUAAAUUAAUUUAGGUUUAUUAUGUUGGGGUGAUAUGAAUAUAAUAAGUAACUGUUCAUUAAUAAAAAUAAAUAUAAUUAUUAGGGUUGAUCCUUUGUAGAGAUUAUAAGUAAAAGUUACUUUAGGGAUAACAGCGUAAUUUUCUUUGAGAGUUCUUAUCGACAAGAAUAGUUGCGACCUCGAUGUUGAAUUAAGAUUUCAUUAAGGUGUAGCAGCUUUAAUAGUAGGUCUGUUCGACCUAUAAAAUCUUA